rnacentral:rRNA from 1 species
UCAGUCGACUCCUACGGGGAGGCAGCAGUGGGGAAUAUUGCACAAUGGGCGCAAGCCUGAUGCAGCCAUGCCGCGUGUAUGAAGAAGGCCUUCGGGUUGUAAAGUACUUUCAGUAGGGAGGAAGGUAGUGUAGUUAACACCUGCAUUAUUUGACGUUACCUACAGAAGAAGCACCGGCUAACUCCGUGCCAGCAGCCGCGGUAAUACGGAGGGUGCGAGCGUUAAUCGGAAUUACUGGGCGUAAAGCGCAUGCAGGCGGCCUGUUAAGUCAGAUGUGAAAGCCCGGGGCUUAACCUCGGAAUUGCAUUUGAAACUGGCAGGCUAGAGUCUUGUAGAGGGGGGUAGGAAUUUCAGGUGUAGCGGUGAAAUGCGUAGAGAUCUGAAGGAAUACCGGUGGCGAAGGCGGCCCCCUGGACAGAUACUGACACUCAGAUGCGAAAGCGUGGGGAGCAAACAGGAUUAGAUACCCUGGUAG